UGUAAGCGUAUACCAAAGUUGUUGCAGUUAAAACGCUCGUAGUCGGAAUUUGGCAGUUCCGGAUGUGUGCACGUCGUGUGCGCACUUCGCGGGGAUUGCUUUUGUGGUCUUGCGUAGGAUGAGGCACUUUUAUUAGUGAACGUCCUCACGCAACCACUUUUUACUGUGAGAAAAUCAGAGUGCUCAAAGCAGGCACUUGCCGUGAAUGUAUUAGCAUGGAAUAAUAGAAUAGGACUUGGUUCUAUUUUGUUGGUUUGUUGGGACUGAGUAAUGAUUAAGAGGGACAGUUGGGGGCAUUUGUAUUUCGGUGCUAGAGGUGAAAUUCUUAGAUUACCGAAAGACAAACUGCUGCGAAAGCGUCUGCCAAGGAUGUUUUCAUUGA
rnacentral:rRNA from 1 species